GACGAACGCUGGCGGCGUGCUUAACACAUGCAAGUCGAGCGGUAAGGCCCUUUCGGGGGUACACGAGCGGCGAACGGGUGAGUAACACGUGGGUGACCUGCCCUCAGCUCUGGGAUAAGCCUGGGAAACCGGGUCUAAUACUGGAUAUGACUCCAUGACGCAUGUUGUGGGGUGGAAAGCCUUGUGCGGCUGAGGAUGGGGCCCGCGGCCUAUCAGCUUGUUGGUGGGGUGANGGCCUACCAAGGCGACGACGGGUAGCCGGCCUGAGAGGGCGACCGGCCACACUGGGACUGAGACACGGCCCAGACUCCUACGGGAGGCAGCAGUGGGGAAUCUUGCGCAAGUGGGCGAAAGCCUGACGCAGCGACGCCGCGUGA
rnacentral:rRNA from 1 species